CACCGCGGUUAUACGGGAGGCCCAAGCUGACAGCCACCGGCGUAAAGAGUGGUUAAUUAUUAUUAAUUAAACUAAAGCCGAACGCCUCCAAGGUUGUUUAACACGUUUGGAGGUAUGAAGACCAACUACGAAAGUGGCUUUACACUCUUUGAACCCACGAAAGCUAGGGAA
rnacentral:rRNA from 1 species